GGAUGAACGCUGGCGGCGUGCUUAACACAUGCAAGUCGAACGAAGAAGAGUUGAAUGAGAGCUUCGGCAGGAUUUCUUCUCAUCUUAGUGGCGGACGGGUGAGUAACGCGUGGGUAACCUGCCUUGUACAGGGGGAUAACACUUAGAAAUAGGUGCUAAUACCGCAUAUGCGCACAGUAUCGCAUGAUACAGUGUGGAAAACUCUGGUGGUACAAGAUGGACCCGCGUCUGAUUAGCUAGUUGGUGAGGUAACGGCCUACCAAGGCGACGAUCAGUAGCCGGCCUGAGAGGGUGACCGGCCACAUUGGGACUGAGACACGGCCCAAACUCCUACGGGAGGCAGCAGUGGGGAAUAUUGCACAAUGGGGGAAACCCUGAUGCAGCAACGCCGCGUGAGUGAAGAAGUAUUUCGGUAUGUAAAGCUCUAUCAGCAGGGAAGAAAAUGACGGUACCUGACUAAGAAGCCCCGGCUAACUACGUG
rnacentral:rRNA from 1 species